rnacentral:rRNA from 1 species
GUGCCUUCGGGCAAGUGGCAGACGGCUGAGUAACGCGUGAGUAACACACCCUCCGGUGGGGUAUAGCCCCGGGAAACCGAGGAUAAUCCCGCAUACGACCCCAAUACCCUGGUAUCGGGGUGAAAGCCUUCGGGCGCCGGAGGAGCGGCCCGCGUCUUAUCAGGUAGUUGGUGAGGUAACGGCUCACCAAGCCGAUGACGGGUAGCUGGUCUGAGAGGACGACCAGCCAGAGGGGGACUGAGACACGGCCCCCACUCCUACGGGAGGCAGCAGCAGGGAAUUUUGGGCAAUGGACGAAAGUCUGACCCAGCGACGUCGCGUGGGGGAUGAAGGUCUUAGGACUGUAAACCCCUUUUCCGAAGGAAGAGGAAGGACGGUACUUCGGGAAUAAGCUCCGGCUAACUACGUGCCAGCAGCCGCGGUAAUACGUAGGGAGCAAGCGUUACCCGGAAUCACUGGGCGUAAAGAGCGCGUAGGCGGCUGGAUAAGUCUCUUGUGAAAGCUCCCGGCUUAACUGGGAGAGGCCAGGGGAUACUAUUCGGCUUGAGGGCAGUAGAGGAAGGCGGAAUCCCCGGUGUAGCGGUGAAAUGCGUAGAUAUCGGGAGGAACACCAGCGGCGAAAGCGGCCUUCUGGGCUGUGCCUGACGCUGAGGCGCGAGAGCGUGGGGAGCAAACUGGAUUAGAUACCCAGGUAGUCCACGCCCUAAACGAUGAAUGCUAGGUAUAGGGGGGUAUCGACCCCCUCUGU